rnacentral:rRNA from 1 species
UGGGGAAUAUUGGACAAUGGGGGGAACCCUGAUCCAGCCAUGCCGCGUGUGUGAAGAAGGCCUUAUGGUUGUAAAGCACUUUAAGCGAGGAGGAGGGUACUGGUAUUAAUACUACCAGGUACUGGACGUUACUCGCAGAAUAAGCACCGGCUAACUCUGUGCCAGCAUCCGCGGUAAUACAGAGGGUGCGAGCGUUAAUCGGAUUUACUGGGCGUAAAGCGUGCGUAGGCGGCUAAUUGAGUCGGAUGUGAAAUCCCCGGGCUUAACUUGGGAAUUGCAUUCGAUACUGGUUAGCUAGAGUGUGGGAGAGGAUGGUAGAAUUCCAGGUGUAGCGGUGAAAUGCGUAGAGAUCUGGAGGAAUACCGAUGGCGAAGGCAGCCAUCUGGCCUAACACUGACGCUGAGGUACGAAAGCAUGGGGAGCAAACAGG